rnacentral:rRNA from 1 species
UACGAAGGGGGCUAGCGUUGCUCGGAAUCACUGGGCGUAAAGGGUGCGUAGGCGGGUCUUUAAGUCAGGGGUGAAAUCCUGGAGCUCAACUCCAGAACUGCCUUUGAUACUGAGAUCUUGAGUUCGGGAGAGGUGAGUGGAACUGCGAGUGUAGAGGUGAAAUUCGUAGAUAUUCGCAAGAACACCAGUGGCGAAGGCGG